CCUCUCUAGUGAAAGUAGAGGCAGCUGACUCUCUCCACUCACUUUCUUCCUCCGCCAGCCACCUCCUCAGUAGCACGGCGCCUCCUCUACAGCAUGCUGCAUCCUCUACCGCCACGACGUCGCCCGGCGCCCCCGCCCACGCCGCCACCACCACCACGACGGCCUUGCGCCGUCUCCUCCGAUCCCCAGCAAGGCCUCGCCCCGCUGGCCUUAUCCCCAGCACAGCCUCGCCCCAUCCCCUCCUCUCACCACAGUGGCCUUGCCUCGCCGCCAACCCCGGGGAUCUUCCCUAGAUCGACUCUGCCGCCUUUAUCCUACUGUUCCAGAGGAGAUCGAGAUGCGGGGGCGGGCAUAUCGAAUUGAAUCGAGAUCCAGUGUGUCGACGUGCCCGCCGUAGUCAUCGCCCCCCGUUCUUGGCUCAGAUAGUCGCUCUGGGAAGGAGUUCGCAGCUCGCGUACGUGCUCUACAGGAUCAACAUGAUCUCUCUGUCGCCGCUGUUGUCAUAAAGGCUCGCAGUCGACCAGACUAUUUGCAGAUGACACUUGAAUCUAUCCUCAAGUAUCACAAAGCGGUUGCUUCAUAGUUCCCACUAUUUAUAUUACAGGAUGGUACAAAUGGAGAAGUAAAAAAUAAGGCCUGGAGUUAUACCCAAAUAACAUUUGUGCAGGUGUGGAAAGAAACACUUGCUCUAUGCUCAUUGCCUAAUGGUAUAACAGAACACGCUCUGCUUCUCCCGUAAUAUUGCUAGCAUAGUUGAUACUACAAGUUAAUGCGUGGCUGCUUACACUAAGUAGGCAUAUGAGUGCAUAAAAAGAUUGAAAAUCGUAACACAUUUUUUAUAUGCAGCCCAAUGAAAUGUAUCGCCUUGAGCUCCAUUAUUUAGGUCAGAUCUCAUGAGAGGUGUUGUUUCAAUUGCAUUGCCAUACAAUAAGGAUUUAUGUAGCGGUGGUAACACAGUCAGUUGGGAGGACCCAAUGGCAGAGUCGAUAUUAUUGACAUUUUCCUUGUUAGAAACAGCAGUAUCUGGUGUUCUUAAUGAAUUUGGACCAUCAAGUGGAGUCUGAUCACUCAUUAUCACAUCAACAGGUCCUGAAAGGGAGUACGUACCCCACUACGUUGAGAGGAUGCCAUAUUGUCUUCUCAAUGGUUUUUUUGUGAAACACUUAUUCAACCCUUCAUCAACUCAGUUUGUUCAUGAUGUACUGUCGAGAUGUUGCUGCCCACAUGGGGUGAUGACACCGGAGGUAGGGCAGCGCGCUGGGUCGAGGACGUCGUGGACAGGGUGAGAGCGGCGUGGUGGGGACGGCGGGCGAGGGGAGGUAGGGAAGCAAGGUGGGUCGAGGAUGUCGUGGACACCAGGGGCGAGGGCGGCUGGCCGAGGCAAGGUUCGUGGCGUGAUGGCAGCGUUGAUGGUGGAGGAUCGUGGCGUGGUGGCGGCUUUGAUCACGGAGGUUCUAUUUAAUUCCCGGGGGGUGUCAUCGCUGGGCUAUGUCAAAUCCUGAACGGGGGAGUCUGCCGGCAGAACAUUUGUUUUGAACCGUAGAUCUGUUUGUAGUAUGGUGGAUGUAACAUGGACCGUUGGAUGCAACUAUGUGGGUUUGAUCGAACGUUUGGGGUUAUCCUGUGUGCACUUUCUGGGGUGCACAUAGGGGAAGUCAUGUUUGAUUUUUUUAAUAGUAGUAUAGAUGCAUCACUAGUAAGGUACACUUGUAUUGCAUGUAUUAGAUUUGACAAGCAAAUUAGGAAUAAAUACCACACUAUAGUA